ensembl:lincRNA 1700008K24Rik RIKEN cDNA 1700008K24 gene
CAGGGAUGAAGGCAAGCUGGCCCCUAGCUGAUCAGCUGGUUGGUGAGGACUCUUCACGAAGUAAGGGACCAUUGUGAAGAUGGAAGAAUGCCCACAAAAUCCAGCUUGAAACCUGCUGGCUCUGAGGGUCCUGCUGGCUCAGCAGUGCUGGUAACCAAGAAGUAUCGCAGGCCCAGGAUAACUCAGCACUCAUGAUCAGCUGUCAAGCUAUAACGGAGUGUUGAGGCAGUCCCUGAAACCACAGCGCCAUUUUGUAGGAACUAAGAAGCCAACCUCAAGGAAUCACUCGCCCCAAGAAGACUUUGUUCUGAUCUGAUGUGUUUCUAGCCUGGUGGAGCCUCAGCUAUCCAAAGGAAGAGCUGUUAAGAUGAUUGGAAUUUUGGUUUUUCCGAUUCACUCUUUUUUCUCUCCAGCCAUCUGCCUUAGACAGCAGGAGAAAAGGAAACUUAGCCUCAGAGGUGGGGUCCUUCGGAAGGACUGACAGUGGGCUAGCUCUCCUGCUGCUGGGAGCCUGAGUGCCUUUGGCUCCUUGUCCAGACCUCAGCUUUACCACGGAGGUUACCUGCUUACCAUCAGCAUCGAAACUUGCCUCUUCCCCUGGGUGUAUUCUCCCUCUUUUGUGCACAGUUUGAUUCCUCCAAACUGCUCUCCCUGUGAAGAAAGCCGAUGGAAUUCAGGGAGCCUGGCCAGCCACCCAGGCCUUUAUAAAGGUCCUCGUACCACAGGAUGUAUGGGAGACCCAAUAAAGACUUUUGCAAAAUG